rnacentral:misc_RNA from 1 species
GAUCGCAUCUCUUCUAGCAGAGGGGAAGGUACCCAUUGGUGUUGGAAGGAACACAAAGAUCAAGAACUGCAUAAUUGACAAGAACGCAAAGAUAGGAAAAAAUGUGGUCAUUGAAAACAAAGAUGGCGUGCAAGAAGCAGAUAAGCCAGAAGAAGGAUUUUACAUUCGGUCUGGAAUCAUAAUUAUAUUGGAUAAGGCAACAAUAGAGGAUGGCACAGUGAUAUAAAUGGACACAGAGCAUGUUCAAGGACUGACUAGCUGUACAAGGGUGUUGAGAUAGGUACAUUGUUGAUUGCCUAGUGAAGAAGCUGACUUGAUGAGUGAUGACGAG